UGAGUGUCCACGUGCUGCUCUGUGCGUCUGAGUGGGAGUUGCAAGUUAGUCCUGCCGCCUAUCCGCCAUCUUCAAACCCACAAUUUUUUUUUUUUUUUUUAGUUGUAGCCUUUAAAUACAUCUUAAUUAACUGAAAAGCCCUUGAAAAAGCAAGAAAAAGUCAAAGAAAGUAUUUCAAGAUAAAGGUCUCUUCACUGAUAAUUUGGAGGCUGCAAACUUUGAAGAGGAAAUAGCAUAGAUUUGCCACGGAUAAUGGAAGGAACAACUGACUUUCCUCUAGAGGAUUUGAACUGGAGGAGGCUUGAAGUUGAACAAUGGAACUCUCAGUACCAACUUCCCUUUACAGUCUGAUCUCAGAAAUCUGACAGCCAGUUGUAUUCCCCCAGACCCUCUACCUUCACCUGUACUGAGGUUGUCCCACAUGGCAGUUUCAGGCGCAAUUCUUCUGGAGAUGACAAAGGGCAGGAAGGUGCUUCAGCUGGUCGGUUGGCCAGAGUUUCUCAUCAAGGAGUACAUGCUGUUUGCUCCCCAGAUGGACAGCCUGGAUGAGCUACAAAUCCACAGAGCCUGGGACACAAGGUGGAAAUUACACUGCCAGUACUUUUAAUCUUGCACAGCUCUGCACACUUGAAAUUGCAAGUGGCCCAUUUCCAAAUGAGCAUCUAUUGGGACAAUAUCCUAUAUCUUGUCAGAAUGAGUCCCAUUAAAUCCUCAGCUGGAAUUAGACCAAAAACUUGUAAUAAUUACAGUAAACUUAUUAAAAAGUUGAAGCCCUAGACUGUGACAGUGAAAACACUCAAGCGACAUUAACAGUAAUUGAAAUUUCUGUGAGUUUUUCUUUUUCAAUCAGUCCUUGUUUAUGGCUAAGCAAAAACACCGAAAUGAGAAGGUGUGAAACCACAACACCCAGCUUCUCAGGGGGGGAAUUGUCUUUUGUUUCAUUAUAAAACGUAGUGUUAGAAUGGAAGUGAAUUGCUCAUUCUCAGCCUGGGGCACCUGCCAAACCCAUGCCCCCACUCCCAGAAGGAGCUCUAGUCACCAUCAGGAAUGAAUGACCCAGCCUCUCCCCAGUAGUGUGGCCCCCCUUUCCUCUCUCAUCUGCUAUUCUACCUUCAACAUUCACUGCCUCCCCUACUAAGUUCUGAGAGUUAAAGACAAGAGUAAUAAAGAAAUGAUUUGGAAACCUGGCCUAGCAAAUA
ensembl:lncRNA CFAP20DC-DT CFAP20DC divergent transcript